CUAAACAAAUGCCAAACGAACUGGUCAAAGUUGAAUAUGUCACCUUAUCUUCAACCGAUUGAAUCGGUCAACACUAAAUACACUUUAUACAGAACCCCCUCUCAUUUUGAUCACAAGCGUACCCAAGAAAUCGUUCACCACCACCAUCAGAUCAUUCACCACUUCCCUCAACAUCGCUUGUUGCUGCCGGAAAAAAAAGCCAAAUCAGGUUUGCAUCUUUUUGUGCUUCCAAGAACCAAAUCACCACCACCAUGUUUUUGGAGUUAAUACACAAGCACAAACCAUUUUUUUUUGAAAAUCUCGCAUAUUCCCGCACACUCCCUCUAACCCGUCAUUUGCAUUCGUUUCUCUCUCUCUCUCUCUCCCUCCUUCUCUCUCUCUCUCACGUAUUCUUAUCAUAUUUUCUCUCCACAAAACCUACAUCUAACACAAAUCCAACGAAUCCAACUCUGUUUUUUUUAUCUUCCUUAUAGCCGAUGUUGCUUUUUGGAAUAUUUGAAGGUAGAUCCAUCAAAGACAGGUACAUUUUCUUUAGUAUAUUGUGAUUUAGGGUUUUGUUUUGUUAUGAUUUUUUAUUAAACCUAAAAAAGUGUAGGUGGAUUGAUGUGAUGAUCAGAUAUGAGUUUGGGAUUUUGAAAAGGGUAUUGACCGAAAAAAUAAAGGGAGAUCGCCAUUCAUUAAUGGUGAUUCCAAAGUUUCUAGGGAUUUUAUUGUAGGUGGUUUCCACCACCAGGUCAUCUUCUUAAUACCCAACUUGAGAAUCAAAGGCAUGCUUUAGGAACUGGCAUGGUUACUCAAGACACAUAUUUCUUUCAUGUGACUGCUCUGAAACUGUUGGUGGAUUACCAGGUCUACUUCUGAGUACUGGAAUUAGUUGGAAUUGGCUAAGAUUAGUUUACCGCUGAUGAAACCAAUGGAUUGUUGCAAGUGUUUGUUAUCUGCAUGAUUUUUUUUAAUAAAGAUGAUCGGUUGAAUGCAUUAUCAAAGUCAAAUAGCUAUGACAAGUCUCUCAAAUGCCAACACCAUAGUAUUGUUAUGCAUCAUUUUUGUGUCAGUCUAAAUGUUAUGAUAGGUUAAUAUCCUAUGUUCAGAUUCACAUGAAUGCGAAAUAGUCGUCCAUUUCCAUCUUGGUUGAGAAGUCCCAA